rnacentral:piRNA from 1 species
GCAUAAUCGGGCGUCAGGGCGCC